rnacentral:rRNA from 1 species
GAUGAACGCUGGCGGCGUGCCUAAUACAUGCAAGUCGAGCGAACGGACGAGAAGCUUGCUUCUCUGAUGUUAGCGGCGGACGGGUGAGUAACACGUGGAUAACCUACCUAUAAGACUGGGAUAACUUCGGGAAACCGGAGCUAAUACCGGAUAAUAUUUUGAACCGCAUGGUUCAAAAGUGAAAGACGGUCUUGCUGUCACUUAUAUAUGGAUCCGCGCUGCAUUAGCUAGUUGGUAAGGUAACGGCUUACCAAGGCAACGAUGCAUAGCCGACCUGAGAGGGUGAUCGGCCACACUGGAACUUAGACACGGUCCAGACUCCUACGGGAGGCAGCAGUAGGGAAUCUUCCGCAAUGGGCGAAAGCCUGACGGAGCAACGCCGCGUGAGUGAUGAAGGUCUUCGGAUCGUAAAACUCUGUUAUUAGGGAAGAACAUAUGUGUAAGUAACUGUGCACAUCUUGACGGUACCUAAUCAGAAAGCCACGGCUAACUACGUG